CUGAUAUUCUUCAAGCUCGUCUUUCUUCAUAGAAUGACUUGUACACUGGCCCAUAUUCUCCUGCCUGGAAUGUCGAUGGCCAGAAGAAGAAUAGAACAAAGGUGCUGGUCACCCAUGGCAACCAGAUACACAGCAUCUCUCUGGCCACCUCCCAGUAUCAUGGGUGCAGAAUAGCCUCUUCCCAUAAAACCUGCAUGGACCCUUUCACCGGGGAUCAUAUAGCUGUGUGGAAAAGCCAACAUUGUUGAGUACUGGAAGGCCCUGGGUUCUUGCUCCUGUUUUGCUCCACAUCUCUCACAGCCAGCCAUGCGCCCAAGUCCAUGCUUCUAGCAAUUCCACUCCGUUCCUUUCUUACAGUCACAGACCAGUCCACAGGCAAGAGGUUGUUAGUUUUAGCGAAACUGCUCCUCCUGCUGGGUGCUUUGCUGUUUAUGUUUUGAAUGCAAUUUGCCUGAGCGGAAGCCUUUUGCUGCUGUUGAGCGGCGAAUCUGGAAAGCGCCCUGGACAAGGACAUCCAGGAGCUGCAACAGAAGACAGCCAAACAAGCAUGUUUGUUUCUUGCUGGGACAGCAUACCCACACUCGCUUAGAAACUGAAAGGGACAAGAAAGAGAGAUCCAGAGGUGGAGUCCCCCUCCAGUCCACAAUAAAAGGUUGUAAUUGCUCUUUAAUGGUCAUUAUACAACAGAGGACAUUUAUAAGCAAUUGCUUAGGUGUAUUAUACAUCAAUAAGACUCUAACAUGUUUGGCACUGAAUGUGACGGAGAUGUUAAAAAUAACACAAGUGCUUUAGGUGAUAUUUCGUGGGAAUGUGUUUCCAGUGGUACUAUUGGAAACAUAUAUCAGAGACAUUAUUGGCUACAAGUUUUGAUAGCUGUUUUGUUAGGCUAUUUAAACUUGGAGGUCAAGAGUAUUUUGGACAAAUAAAGGAUCUCGUUGGCAAAAUCUUGGAAAUAGCAUUAAUGGAUAUUUGGAAACGCAGAAUCUGAAACUUUAUGUUGAUGAACAAACUUGUUGCUUACUUAUUUCAAACAUCUUUGGGAAGGGAAAAUUGGAAAGGGGAAACUCAGUCAGAUCAGAGAUUCAGUAUUUCCAGACACGGUCCUUGAACAGUCGCUUAUUUUUCUCUGAAUGGUACAAACUUAUGUGAGUUGUUUCCUUUCCACGCUGUGCAUGGAACAUUUGCUCUUCAGUUGUUUAGAAAUGUGAGAUGUUUUUUCUUUUACAUUUUAAAUUCUAUUUGUACAACAUUAAUAUUUAUGUUUUUAAAAUGGACUGUUGCUGUGGAUACAAAUGGUCAAAUGUUGAUGGCUGCUGAACAAUAAUGAGAUGUUGAAUAUUGAUGCUGAAUAUCAAAUAUUUGCUGAAUAUCUGUACACUGAGAGACUGUUUGCCAGCAACAUUUGCAGAGGAGGAGCAAACCCCUUUCCAGUCGAAUUCCAAGGUUCCAGAGUCCUUUUCUCCUCCUGGUUUGCAGCACAACAGAAUGCCCGUGACAGGAGGAGACCCAAGUUGACCUCAUCACAGACCCCUGGAAAGGAAACGUGUUGGAAGAAAAGAGAAGCGGCCAAGCUGAGCUUGAAAUCGGAUUUAUUUCAUUUCUAAAAUGAAAGUAGAAGAGCAGUACAAAUAUGCUUUGGCAUGAGAAAGAGAGAAUAUUUGCCCAGGAGCCUUUGCUUCCAUUCUUCCCCCACCCCGCUCGCUGCCCUCCAAUUCUUCUGUGCAUGGGAGGCUGAAACCACCCAAGGAGGCCGACUCAACCUACCAGUCAAUCCAAAUCCCGUCCCAGCAACCCUGCAAUGCCCGACUUCCUAGCGAUAUGUGCGAUGGAUGAAUCCCUGAGCGACUUCCCUGCAGUCGAGGGCCCCAGUCCAAGGGCAGAACAUUUGAAAGCAACCACUGCAUUUCCUCCCGAGAUGGCCUCCCUCUCGGCUCAGUCCUGACGACUUCUGCUGGCUGGGGGCAGGGUCUGGCCUCAGGCUGGUGCCCAUGUUCUGUUAUUCUAGAGCAACGCAGCCUGCCUCUGAUUUGUUGACAUGGUCAAGUGAUUCAUCCAAGGCCAAAAUGAAUUGAACUGAGUCGCUUCUUGAAUUAAAAGAGCCA